UCAAGGAAUAGUUUAAGUAGAAUAUCAGCUUUGGGUGUUGAUGGUGGAACUUGAGUUUCUUCCUUG
rnacentral:tRNA from 1 species